UGCCCAGGUAGCGGACGGGAUCCAGCGGCUCGCGGGUACCGCCCGCGCUGAUCACGACAUGGCGUCCGGCGAGAUCCUGCUCGCUCGCGCGC
rnacentral:tRNA from 1 species